CUGGUCUUUCCUCCGAGGAGUUCCAUGAUGCAUUUCUGCAUGAGGUGUUCAGCCACGUCUGAAUCGACCGCUGCCAGAGGAUCAUCGAGCAGGAGGCAGUCAGCUGUUAGAACCUCAAGUCAGAACCAAACAGGAUGAAACUGCUUUUAGACUAACUUAUUUUUAGGUAAAACGUCUCUGAGCUCGAAGCAGAUGGCCGUUCCUGCGGAGGACUGACCAUGUAAACA